rnacentral:lncRNA from 1 species
AGAACUUGGUGCGGGCCUUCAGCAUCACUCAGGGGCUGCUGAAAGACCGCCUCCUCUGCUCAGGCCACGAUGUCAGUGACGGAGGCCUCGUCACAUGCCUGCUGGAGAUGGCCUUUGCUGGAAAUUGCGGGCUACAGGUGGAUGUGCCUGUCCCCAGGGUUGAUGCUGAACUGGAUGGAACUGGCUGACACCCACCAUGUUCCUGACUGCACCCCUCUGAGACUUCCCAUCCCUGAGAUGUCCAUGAUGAAACAUCCUCAGUCCUGCCGUCCUAGCCCUCAUCCUCCCUGAUCCCUACCCUACUCUCUGGCUGCAUCCCUCUGACCCUCACCCUGGCCCUUCCUGCAUUUCCCUGAUCCCGCCCCAACUCCCUUGGCCCUUCUUGCAUCCCCCUGACUCCCCACAUUGCUCUCCCAGUCCUGUCUGUGCUGUUCGCUGAGGAGCCAGGCCUCGUGCUGGAGGUGCAGGAGCCAGACCUGGCCCAGGUGCUGAAGCGUUACCGGGAUGCUGGCCUCCAUUGCCUGGAGCUGGGCCACACAGGCGAGGCCGGGCCCCACGCCAUGGUCCGGGUGUCAGUGAACGGGGCUGUGGUUCUGGAGGAGCCUGUUGGGGAGCUGCGAGCCCUCUGGGAGGAGACGAGUUUCCAGCUGGACCGGCUACAGGCAGAGCCUCGCUGUGUGGCAGAGGAGGAACGGGGCCUGAGGGAGCGGAUGGGGCCCAGCUAUUGCCUGCCCCCCACCUUUCCCAAAGCCUCCGUGCCCCGUG